rnacentral:rRNA from 1 species
AUACGUAGGGUGCGAGCGUUAAUCGGAAUUACUGGGCGUAAAGCGUGCGCAGGCGGUUUUGUAAGACAGUGGUGAAAUCCCCGGGCUCAACCUGGGAACUGCCAUUGUGACUGCAAGGCUAGAGUACGGCAGAGGGGGAUGGAAUUCCGCGUGUAGCAGUGAAAUGCGUAGAUAUGCGGAGGAACACCGAUGGCGAAGGCAAUCCCCUGGGCCUGUACUGACGCUCAUGCACGAAAGCGUGGGGAGCAAACAGGAUUAGAUACCCUGGUAGUCCACGCCCUAAACGAUGUCAACUGGUUGUUGGGUCUUCAUUGACUCAGUAACGAAGCUAACGCGUGAAGUUGACCGCCUGGGGAGUACGGCCGCAAGGUUGAAACUCAAAUGAAUUGACGGGG